UGCGUAGGCGGAUGAAUAAGUCAGUGGUGAAAUCCUGCAGCUUAACUGUAGAAUUGCCAUUGAUACUGUUUUUCUUGAGUAUAGUUGAGGUGGGCGGAAUGUGUAAUGUAGCGGUGAAAUGCUUAGAUAUUACACAGAACUCCAAUUGCGUAGGCAGCUCACUAAGCUAUUACUGACGCUGAGGCACGAAAGCGUGGGGAGCGAACAGGAUUAGAUACCCUGGUAGUCC
rnacentral:rRNA from 1 species